AUCAAGUUUGACUUAAAUGCACUGUACUACAUACAUGAGAGAUGCGAUGGGUUACUGAUACAUCUAGAGACCUAUCUGUAUAAAGGAAAAGGAUUACUUGUUAAAAAUGAUAACUAAGCUAUCUGGGAUCAUGUAAUUUUUAACCUAGAGAAAAAUGGACUGUGUUGUGGUCAUGGUCAUUGCUUUAGGCUUUUGGAUUGGAAAUAAGUUGUGGUGAAAAUAAAUAUGAUAUUUGGAAAGGUCAAGAAGUGAAUGCAG
rnacentral:misc_RNA from 1 species